rnacentral:siRNA from 1 species
UGCAACCUCAUGAAAUCGUAGUGA